rnacentral:rRNA from 1 species
UGGGAAUUUGGACAAUGGGCGAAGCCUGAUCCAGCAAUGCCGCGUGUGUGAAGAAGGCCUUCGGGUUGUAAAGCACUUUUGUCCGGAAAGAAAUCCUUGGCUCUAAUACAGUCGGGGGAUGACGGUACCGGAAGAAUAAGCACCGGCUAACUACGUGCCAGCAGCCGCGGUAAUACGUAGGGUGCAAGCGUUAAUCGGAAUUACUGGGCGUAAGGCGUGCGCAGGCGGUUUGCUAAGACCGAUGUGAAAUCCCCGGGCUCAACCUGGGAACUGCAUUGGUGACUGGCAGGCUAGAGUAUGGCAGAGGGGGGUAGAAUUCCACGUGUAGCAGUGAAAUGCGUAGAGAUGUGGAGGAAUACCGAUGGCGAAGGCAGCCCCCUGGGCCAAUACUGACGCUCAUGCACGAAAGCGUGGGGAGCAAACAGGAUUCAGAUACCCUGGUAGUCCACGCCCUAAACGAUGUCAACUAGUUGUUGGGGAUUCAUUUCCUUAGUAACGUAGCUAACGCGUGAAGUUGACCGCCUGGGGAGUACGGUCGCAAGAUUAAAACUUAAAGGAAUUGACGGGGUCAUAGCUGUUUCCU